GUUCGUUUGUUCAACGAUUAAAGUCCUACGUGAUCUGAGUUCAGACCGGAGUAAUCCAGGUCGGUUUCUAUCUAUUUUAAGGUCCCUCCCAGUACGAAAGGACAAGAGAGACAGGGCCCACUUAAAAUAAGCGCCCUAAUUAACUAGAUGAACUA
rnacentral:rRNA from 1 species